rnacentral:rRNA from 1 species
GAGUGUUGAUCCUGGCUCAGAACGAACGCUGGCGGCAUGCCUAACACAUGCAAGUCGAACGAGAUCUUCGGAUCUAGUGGCGCACGGGUGAGUAACGCGUGGGAAUCUGCCUUCAGGUGCGGGAUAACUCAGGGAAACUUGAGCUAAUACCGCAUAAUGACUUCGGUCCAAAGAUUUAUUGCCUGAAGAUGAGCCCGCGUAGGAUUAGCUAGUUGGUGAGGUAAAAGCUCACCAAGGCGACGAUCCUUAGCUGGUCUGAGAGGAUGAUCAGCCACACUGGGACUGAGACACGGCCCAGACUCCUACGGGAGGCAGCAGUGGGGAAUAUUGGACAAUGGGCGAGAAGCCUGAUCCAGCAACUGCCGCGUGAGUGAUGAACGGCCUUACGGGUUGUAAAGCUCUUUUACCCGGGAAGAUAAUGACUGUACCGGACGAGUAAGCUCCGGCUAACUCCGUGCCAGCAGCCGCGGUAAUACGGAGGGAGCUAGCGUUGUUCGGAAUUACUGGGCGUAAAGCGCACGUCGGCGGUGAUCCAAGUCUGAGGUGAUAGCUCUGAGCUCACUCUGGAACUGCCUUUUAAACUCGAUAGCUAGAGACUGGAGAGGCGAGUGGAGCCGAUAGUGUCGCGGUGCAACUCCGUAGAUGCUACUGAAGUAACGACCGAAUGGGCGUAAAGGGCGAACUCAGCUUGGGACCAAGGCUAUUGUGCACGCCCCUGAAGGGUUUGCGUACAAUGCCGUCUGGGGGGAAUCCAAAACCUCGGAAUGGGCAAUAAUCCUG